rnacentral:piRNA from 1 species
UGUGCUGUUGUGUUUGAAAUUUCACUA